CCCAGUGUACAGGAUCACGAUUUGACCACCAGGAAGAAUGGUGGCUGAACCGGUCCAUACACCAUUGAUAUCGAACGGCCUAUCGGGGACCAUGGCGAAGGGCAGAUACAGCCAGUGAAUAAGGUCCCUUGAAACCGCAUGUCCCCAUGUGAUGUUUCCCCAGAUAGCUGAAUCCGGAUUGUAUUGGUAGAAAAGGUGGUACCAACCCAUGUGGAACAAUGGACCUGUACCAGCAUAGCUUUUUUUUUUUUUUUUUUUUAUCAAAACAUGCAUUGUCCCUGGAGACUCUUAUGAUUGUCAUCGUUCUAAAACAAGUUGAAACCACAUGCACUUUAUCAAGUACGAACAGAAUUGUUAUUAAGGGCUGUGAGGAAAGCCGCCUCGAUUUAUUACAGGGAUGGUCAGGUCUCAGAUCACGAUAUUCUUCCUUUCUUUUUGUUUUUUUUGGCCAAAUACGCUACAUUCUAUUUUAUACCUAUUCUUACUAUACUAUAUACUAGAAGGAGGGAGACCUAAAGGGAUCCGGGAAGAAUCUGAAAGGACUGAACCACCGUCGAUCUAAACGGAUGACUACACAUUCGUUAGGAAAUUCCAGAGAAUCCUGGAUUGAACGUAGACAAAGGGAUUUAAUCUCUUAUUAACCUACACCCUUAAGUAAAAUUUUAAGAUUCACUUGGUAACCAACUGCUCUAGAAGUAGUUGGUUAGAUUAAGAUAUUCCCCGAUCUUGUGGUUUUUGAAGCAGAAAUUAUACAGUAAGAGAAGUGUUGAGAAGGCAAGUUGGCAACUGCCCCGUCAUGGCUGUCAUCCGGGACGGUUGGACGAAUUCAAAGUUUCAUGCUGAUUUCUCCACCAAGAAAUACUACAAGAAUUAAUCUACAGCAUUUGCAUAAUAUUCAAGAAAGCAACAAUUCAUCCCAUGGAAAUUUCAGCCUCUCGUGGGAUGUGCGUGCAAGAAAUUGAAAAGUAUGUGUAGUUUUGCAUCCCAUAACUUUGGGGUCUAUCAAAUGCCACGUAGAAAUUCUGGUGAUUUUGAAAAUUUCAGACCCAAAAUGAACGAAAAGACGUGUGCAGCAGACUCGUCACAAUUGAUUUUGCAAAAUUGAACACGACUCUCUCCCAUCUUCCUAGUUGUUAUCCGAGUAGCUUCGUUGCAAUAAUUGGAUUGGGCACUUACAUAUUAAUGCAUUUAUCUGUUAGCUUCCAAUUUCAAUUUCACAAUCCAGAAGAAAGAAACUGAAACGGAAAAAAAAAAAUCCAAAACCACAGAGUAUUAUUCAGCCAAGGAUGGAGUCGAGGGAGGGACAAUUCUAUUUUGAGCCCUUUAUUUCAAUUAUUCCUUGAUAGAGAGAGAGAGUGAAAAGAACUUGUGGCCCUUAACAAUUUUCCUAUCGGCUCUAUCCAUUUUAUGUACUUCGACCUGGGUGUAUAAAAUCACUGGGCCAUUGGCUCAGUGACCAUCAGGGUUGACGAGGGUUUAAAUCUCAUCAGCAGCGAAAAAAAUUUAAGGGUUGUGCUAUAACACUUCCUUGAUCUAGUUGGAUCUGUAUACCCACUAGUCCCUUUCAUAGUCUCCUUAGGCUCCCUUCCCCCUAGAUUAUGAUAGAGUAAGUUAUACAAAUACAUCGUUGCUGAAAAAAAAAAAACUUGGGUGUAUAAAUUAUUAGGCACAACUACUUGGGAGUACUAUAGUAGUAGAAAUGUGGCUUUCCACGUUCCACAAUCUACAAAAAGCCAGAUGGACAAAUGCACAUGUGGCGUGUUGACCCACCCACAUGGAAAUGAGUAUUCGGAGAAAGAACCCUCCUUGAUUGGUCCACAACUCUCUUCCAAAACCCCAAAAAAAAAAAAAAAAAAGAAUUAACUAAUCCUCAAUCAACUACUACUAUAUAGGGCACUUUUACCACCACACAUUCGUUUGAAUCUUCCGAAUAAAGUACCCUACUAGCAAUAAUACGCCAACCAUCAAGAAGAAGUUGAAUUAUUACGAUUCUCCUACACAGACGGAAUCCCCAGACAGAAACCUAUACUUGCACGGCGGGAAUCCCAUGGUCAACUACAAUGCCUACGCAUGUUAGACAAAUUACUACGACAUUAAAACGAGAAAACACCCCAUGGGCUCCAAAAUUAUAGGAAUGUACAACUCUAAUCUAAACUAGACAAUUAGAGGAUGGAAAGUAUAUGCUUGCAAUUUGCAGUAUCAGAAGCAAAUGAAAGUGAUUGAGCAACGUACCAUUAGGAUCUAGAGUAGACGAAAUUUCCCCGCAAAGUUGUGUGUGUCAUCAAACCACCAACAGUGAAGGAAAAAAAAAAAAGAAGCUCGGAUUAGUAUGCAUGAAUGCAUCACAUACCUUAAAAUUCUACAAUGGUAAGGAAUUUUCAGAGAAAAGAGACGGGUUGGCUUUUGGAACCUGCAAGAUUGGAUUAUGACUCACCGUUCAUCCAGUUCUUCUCCGGCUGGAAAUGGUAGGAAGUUCUUUGCCAAGAUAGCAUAGCAUUGGUCCAAGGAUAGACAUCAUUCGCAUCAGAGACUCCCCGGAAAGUCUUCUCCGAGACUCCUUGAGGAACCCCUCUGGAAGCUGGAAUGAGAGAAUGAGGGGAGACAGGUGAGGAAGGGGAUGACUUGUUUAAAUUGGCAUUGAUCAUUUGAGAUUGAUCGCGAGGUUCUUCUUGUCCUUGGAAAAGGGUCAAGAUUAAGGUAAGCAGAAACAAUGAGGACAGGAAAAUGCCGGCCAGAACCUUAACGGGCCGUUGUCUACUUUGACCCGAGGACCGAGAAACCUCUGCUUCAUCGGAUUGCUCUAGCAAAGGAGCAUCGGAGACGGCAAGUUCAGGAUCAUAUGGCAGAGUAAGAGAACGAUUGGCGGCCAUUUUGGUAGAUGACGGUGGACGGAGAAGGGAAGGCUAGGCCGAAUGCUAGCUACAAAGGCGCUAUAUGGUAGACCACUACUCGACUAGCUAGUCGUACUACCAACAAUAUAUAUAUAUAUAUAGCAGUGGCAUUCGGGCUUUCAACGGGGGUGGUAAAAAAAAAAAAAAAAUUUAAAGGUGGAAUUCGGGCUCUCCAGGACUGGGGGCGGCCCCUGCUCAGCAGUUGGCAAUGUGUCUGCAUUUGAGUUUUCUUGCAUGAUGUGUGGUCCAACACGGAUUUUUCCAGAGCACUUUAUUGGUGGAGAGGGUUACGGGCCGGGUUCAACUUCUUCACCAGUUUUACUGUUUAAUAAAGUUUAAGCGAACAUUUUAUUCUUUUUUUGCCUUACGGAACUGCAAGUUAUUACGAUUAAAAACGUAAAAAAGAAAAUGCAGACAAAAAAAAAAGAAUAAAAUAGUUGUGUUUGAAUUGCAUUUUUCAUGAAAAAAUUACUGUAGCGAUUUGAUGUAUGCGAGGAAAAAAGAUAAUAGAGAAAUGUGAUCACGGAAAACGACGUAAUUUUUUGACGGAAAACAACAAUCAAAACAAGGCCAUGCCAAAGCUGAAAUUUUUUUUUUUUAAGGAAUAUACGUAUGUGGAAAAAUAAUCUUGCUAAGGUCCUUUUUAUUUGCAUUUAGGAAACUCCAUUUGUUGUUCCCCAGCAAUUCGACCCUAGAACUAGAUGCAAAUGAAGAUUGGUUCGAUUUCCUUUGUGUUUCAAAGGUAAAAGGGGGAAAAAAGGCGGCGUCAAGAGUGGAAAAUGUCUUAGCCAAAAAAAAAAAAAAAAAAGAGUAGAAAGUGAGGAAAAAGUCAAAACAAUGUAUAUUAAUAAACACUGGUCGAGGAAUAUUGAAUUACUCUUUUUAAAAGAAAAACCAAAAAGUACAUGAAUGUUGAACCAUACCGAUUCUGUAAUAUUAUUUUUAAUAACAUAAGUAAAAGAAUUUAAAUUCAAAAUUAUAUAUAUACAUAUUAUAUUCCAUCCCACCCUUCCUGAAUUUUGUGAUUGCAACACGUUAAAAAUUUUGCCGGUUUUAUUUGGUCAUCAUAUCUCUGUCUGACUACGGACAAAUCAGAAUUGGGCAAUGAGUUGGCAUUAUUGUAUUAUAGAAUCGUAUUCGUGUACCAAUCUUAGAAAGAAAAAGAAACAGUGAUGAUUGAAGAACAGACCUGCGUUGCUGAGCCAAUAUUUAGGGGCGCGAUGGAUCCUGGUUCCAGCUUGACGGUGUCAAAUUCAGUAGCAUUAAAUCUCAAGCUCUCCGCUUCUUCAACCGGCCAUUGAAGUAUAUUUGUUCCAGUCUUCUUGUCAAAAACCACCGUUCUUGGAUUGUCUGUGCAACACAUCAAACCAGCUAUUACUAUUAGGCCUGGGAACCACACAGUCCGAUGCAUGGCAGUGUCAUUAUUAUUAUUAUUAUAUUAUCGUUUUCCGUGAUCACAUUUUCCUAUCACCUUUUUCUCUCACAUAUAUCAAAUCGUUACAGUAAUUUUUCCAUAAAAAAUGACAAAAAAUGUAAUCCAAACACAACCUUAAGUUCCAUCUGGGCAAUCCAUCCAAGCUUGGUAAUCAUUCUUUCUUUAACUAAAUUCUUUGUGGGCUACAUGGUAAUUAGUAGUAUAUUUUUUGGUGGAGUAGACAUUAAAGUUGUUUCCGUUCAAAAGGAACAAAAAAAAGACACGUAGAAUAUGGUACCAUAUCACUUCACAAUUAGAGAGGCCAUCUUGACGUGGUUCUCACACACCAAAUGAAUAGAAUAUUAUCAAAGAACUUGAAAUCAAAGUCAAGGCAAUGCAUUAUGCACUUGUGAAUGAGGAGAACAAUAAUACUAAUAAUAAUGAUGAUACCUGAACCGAUGCCCAUCCUUUCAUGAGGUCAGCAGCUUCGCUGUCAGUUUCUCCAAUCCAACCCCACAAAAUCCUCCUCUUCUUGUUCUGGUCGUAAAAUGUCUUUGACGCGUAAUACUUGCCAUAGUCCAGACGCAACCCGAUACCCACAUCCAGUUCCGGAUCGUCAGGGGUCCACUUAUUGUUUUUCGGAUCAUAGGUGCCCAGUGCGUAGUAAUCGUGCUUGUUCUCGUCCAAGCUUGCCUUCAGGACGUGCUUAGUGCCAGGCCCAUUAGCCGAUGUAUCCAGCCCAUUAUCCCCCGUGGUGGAAACCGGGUAGAAAUCCACGCACUCCCACAUGCCUGUGCGGGGAACGGCGUGUAAAACCCCAUCCAAGAGCCGGUAGCCCUUGAAGUCGCUGGUUUCAUAAACCAGGGCAAUGCCCGUUUUAUUGACCUUGGACCCGAGAGUAACCAACCACUUGGUCCCAUCGGGCGCCAGCCAGGCGGUGGUGGGGUCCCUAAAGUCCUUCUUGCCAAUGCCAGGUGGGGGAUCAUGACCGGGUUACCCGGGUACUUGAUCCAGUCAAGGAGGAGAGGAUCGGAUAGGUUGGCGGGGUACGCAAGGUUUUGCACCUGCACCAGAUCAGCAGUGUCCCCAGUGUACAGGAUCACGAUUUGACCACCAGGAAGAAUGGUGGCUGAACCGGUCCAUACACCAUUGAUAUCGAACGGCCUAUCGGGGACCAUGGCGAAGGGCAGAUACAGCCAGUGAAUAAGGUCCCUUGAAACCGCAUGUCCCCAUGUGAUGUUUCCCCAGAUAGCUGAAUCCGGAUUGUAUUGGUAGAAAAGGUGGUACCAACCCAUGUGGAACAAUGGACCUGUACCAGCAUAGCUUUUUUUUUUUUUUUUUUUUAUCAAAACAUGCAUUGUCCCUGGAGACUCUUAUGAUUGUCAUCGUUCUAAAACAAGUUGAAACCACAUGCACUUUAUCAAGUACGAACAGAAUUGUUAUUAAGGGCUGUGAGGAAAGCCGCCUCGAUUUAUUACAGGGAUGGUCAGGUCUCAGAUCACGAUAUUCUUCCUUUCUUUUUGUUUUUUUUGGCCAAAUACGCUACAUUCUAUUUUAUACCUAUUCUUACUAUACUAUAUACUAGAAGGAGGGAGACCUAAAGGGAUCCGGGAAGAAUCUGAAAGGACUGAACCACCGUCGAUCUAAACGGAUGACUACACAUUCGUUAGGAAAUUCCAGAGAAUCCUGGAUUGAACGUAGACAAAGGGAUUUAAUCUCUUAUUAACCUACACCCUUAAGUAAAAUUUUAAGAUUCACUUGGUAACCAACUGCUCUAGAAGUAGUUGGUUAGAUUAAGAUAUU
rnacentral:lncRNA from 1 species